UAUAUAUUAAUUUACUUUAAUUGUUUUUAGGGAUUAAUUUUUAUUAAAAUAAUUAUUUGUUAUUGUAUUUAUUUAUGAAUUAAUUUAAUUUGUUAUAGUUUAUUUGUACUUUGAAGGGUUAUUGAAAUAGUGGUUUUAUUUUUAAAAGUUGAUUUAGUUUAUUGUACCUUGUGUAUCAGGGUUUAUUUAAAAUAGAAUAUUUAUUUUGUUUUUCCCGAUUUUAGGAGAGCUAUAUUGUUAUAUUAGUUAAUGUUAAAUAAUUAUUAAUAAUAAUAUUAUAGUAGUGAUAUGUUAAUCGUUCUUAAAGGUAUCUGGUUUCUUGAGAAAUGAAUUUAAUUCAGACAAUGGUUUAAAUUAUAUGUUUUAAAUUAUUAAUUAAUAUUGAGUUGUUGUCAAUACUUUGAGGGACAAGCUUUGGAGUAAAAAUUAAUAAAAGUUUAUUUGUAGUAAGUGAAAUAGAUUUAAGAGUGAUUAUUAGUUAAAGGAUGUUAAAAUUUUACUUAUUUAUUUGUUUAUUUGUAUUGAUUUUUUAAUUUUUUAUUAAGAAUUAUUAUUUAAUUGUUAAUUGAUUGUUAUUAUGAUAAAAUUAGUAUAAUUUUAUAUGGAAAUAUUUACAUAUUUUUAGUAAAUUAUAAGGAAUUAGGCAAUUUAUUUAUUCGCCUGUUUAACAAAAACAUCUCUUUUCGAUUAUUUGAAAAGUAUAACCUGCCCACUGACUUAGGUUAAAGGGCCGCGGUAAUUUGACCGUGCAAAGGUAGCAUAAUCAUUAGUCUCUUAAUUAGAGGCUGGAAUGAAUGGUUGGACGAGAUAAAUACUGUCUUAUAAUUUAAUUUAGAAUUUAAUUUUUAAGUAAGAAAGCUUAAAUUUUAUUAUGGGACGAGAAGACCCUAUAGAGUUUAAUAAUUAUAUUUGUAUUGUAUGUUUGAUUAUUAAUUUAUAAAUUUAAUUUUUUUGUUGGGGUGAUGGAAAGAUAAUAUAAACUCUUUUUUUUGUUAUAUAUUUAUUUAUAGAAUUUUGAUCCAUUAAUAAUGAUUAUAAGACUAAAUUACCUUAGGGAUAACAGCGUAAUCUUUUUUGAGAGUUCAUAUCGACAAAAGGGGUUGCGACCUCGAUGUUGGAUUAAGAUAAACAUUAGGUGUAGAAGUUUAAUAAUGUUAGGUCUGUUCGACCUUUAAAAUCUUACAUGAUCUGAGUUCAAACCGGCGUGAGCCAGGUUGGUUUCUAUCUAUAAUUUAUUAUAAUAUUUUAGUACGAAAGGACCAGAUAUUAAGAAUAAUUUUAUAUAAUUUGAAUAUUAUUAAAUU
rnacentral:rRNA from 1 species